GUGUCCAGUGUGAGGUGCGGCUGGUGGAGUCUGGGGGAGGCUUGGUGCCGCCUGGGGGAUCCCUGACCCUCUCCUGUGCAGCCUCUGGAUUCACCUUCAGUAACUAUGGCAUGCACUGGGUCCGCCAGGCUCCAGGGAAGGGGCUGGAGUGGGUGGCAGGUAUAUGGUAUGAUGGAAGUGGUAAAUACUACCCAGACUCCGUGAAGGGCCGAUUCGCCAUCUCCAGAGACAAUUCCAAGAACACCGUGUCCCUGCAAAUGAACAGUCUGAGGUCUGAGGACACGGCCACGUAUUACUGUGCAAGAGACACACAGUGA